rnacentral:rRNA from 1 species
GUGGGGAAUCUUCCGCAAUGGACGAAAGUCUGACGGAGCAACGCCGCGUGAGUGAUGAAGGUCUUCGGAUUGUAAAGCUCUGUUAAUCGGGACGAAAGAGCCUAGUGUGAAUAAUGCUAGGAAGUGACGGUACCGGAAUAGAAAGCCACGGCUAACUACGUGCCAGCAGCCGCGGUAAUACGUAGGUGGCAAGCGUUGUCCGGAAUUAUUGGGCGUAAAGCGCGCGCAGGCGGAUCUGCCAGUCUGUCUUAAAAGUUCGGGGCUUAACCCCGUGAUGGGAUGGAAACUACAGAUCUAGAGGAUCGGAGAGGAAAGUGGAAUUCCUAGUGUAGCGGUGAAAUGCGUAGAUAUUAGGAAGAACACCAGUUGCGAAGGCGACUUUCUGGACGAAAACUGACGCUGAGGCGCGAAAGCCAGGGGAGCGAACGGGAUUAGAAACCCCAGUAGUCC